rnacentral:rRNA from 1 species
ACUCAAAUGAAUUGACGGGGGCCCGCACAAGCAGCGGAGCGUGUGGUUUAAUUCGACGCAACGCGAAGAACCUUACCAGGGCUUGACAUGGCCGGAAAAGCGCGUGAAAGCGCGUGUCCCCGCAAGGGGGUCGGUCACAGGUGCUGCACGGCUGUCGUCAGCUCGUGCCGUGAGGUGUUGGGUUAAGUCCCGCAACGAGCGCAACCCCUGUCGUGAGUUGUAUGUUUCUCACGAGACUGCUGGUGGCAAGCCAGAGGAAGGCGGGGAUGACGUCAAGUCAGCGUGGCCCUUACGUCCUGGGCGACACACACGCUACAAUGGCCGGUACAGCGCGUCGCGACCUCGCGAGGGGAAGCCAAUCGCUCAAAGCCGGCCCCAGUUCAGAUUGCAGGCUGAAACCCGCCUGCAUGAAGGCGGAGUUGCUAGUAACCGCGGGUCAGCACACCGCGGUGAAUACGUUCCCGGGCCUUGUACACACCGCCCGU